rnacentral:rRNA from 1 species
UAAAGGUAUUCCGGUAGACGAUGGGGAUGCGUUCCAUUAGAUAGUAGGCGGGGUAACGGCCCACCUAGUCUUCGAUGGAUAGGGGUUCUGAGAGGAAGGUCCCCCACAUUGGAACUGAGACACGGUCCAAACUCCUACGGGAGGCAGCAGUGAGGAAUAUUGGUCAAUGGGCGAGAGCCUGAACCAGCCAAGUAGCGUGAAGGAUGACUGCCCUAUGGGUUGUAAACUUCUUUUAUAAAGGAAUAAAGUCGGGUAUGGAUACCCGUUUGCAUGUACUUUAUGAAUAAGGAUCGGCUAACUCCGUGCCAGCAGCCGCGGUAAUACGGAGGAUCCGAGCGUUAUCCGGAUUUAUUGGGUUUAAAGGGAGCGUAGAUGGAUGUUUAAGUCAGUUGUGAAAGUUUGCGGCUCAACCGUAAAAUUGCAGUUGAUACUGGAUAUCUUGAGUGCAGUUGAGGCAGGCGGAAUUCGUGGUGUAGCGGUGAAAUGCUUAGAUAUCACGAAGAACUCCGAUUGCGAAGGCAGCCUGCUAAGCUGCAACUGACAUUGAGGCUCGAAAGUGUGGGUAUCAAACAGGAUUAGAUACCCUGGUAGUCCACACGGUAAACGAUGAAUACUCGCUGUUUGCGAUAUAUGCAA